AGUGAACGCUGGCGGUAGGCCUAACACAUGCAAGUCGAACGGCAGCACAGUAAGAGCUUGCUCUUACGGGUGGCGAGUGGCGGACGGGUGAGGAAUACAUCGGAAUCUACUUUUUCGUGGGGGAUAACGUAGGGAAACUUACGCUAAUACCGCAUACGACCUACGGGUGAAAGCAGGGGAUCUUCGGACCUUGCGCUAUUGAAUGAGCCGAUGUCGGAUUAGCUAGUUGGCGGGGUAAAGGCCCACCAAGGCGACGAUCCGUAGCUGGUCUGAGAGGAUGAUCAGCCACACUGGAACUGAGACACGGUCCAGACUCCUACGGGAGGCAGCAGUGGGGAAUAUUGGACAAUGGGCGCAAGCCUGAUCCAGCCAUACCGCGUGGGUGAAGAAGGCCUUCGGGUUGUAAAGCCCUUUUGUUGGGAAAGAAAAGCAGCAGGUUAAUACCCCGCUGUUCCGACGGUACCCAAAGAAUAAGCACCGGCUAACUUCGUG
rnacentral:rRNA from 1 species